AGGGCGAUUCAGUCGCUGGGUGUAGACCCGAAACCAAGUGAUCUACUCAUGGCCAGGAUGAAGGUGCCGUAACAGGUACUGGAGGUCCGAACCCACUAAUGUUGAAAAAUUAGGGGAUGAGCUGUGGGUAGGGGUGAAAGGCUAAACAAACUUGGAAAUAGCUGGUUCUCUCCGAAAACUAUUUAGGUAGUGCCUCAAGUAUCACCAUCGGGGGUAGAGCACUGUUAUGGCUAGGGGGUCAUCGCGACUUACCAAACCAUUGCAAACUCCGAAUACCGAUGAGUGCGAGCUUGGGAGACAGACGUCGGGUGCUAACGUCCGGCGUCAAGAGGGAAACAACCCAGACCGCCAGCUAAGGUCCCAAAGAUUGGCUAAGUGGUAAACGAAGUGGGAAGGCUAAAACAGUCAGGAGGUUGGCUUAGAAGCAGCCACCCUUUAAAGAAAGCGUAAUAGCUCACUGAUCGAGUCGUCCUGCGCGGAAGAUGUAACGGGGCUAAGCCAGUCACCGAAGCUGCGGAUAUGCGUAAGCAUAUGGUAGGAGAGCGUUCUGUAAGCCUGCGAAGGUGUCUUGUAAAGGAUGCUGGAGGUAUCAGAAGUGCGAAUGCUGACAUGAGUAGCGAUAAUGCGGGUGAAAAGCCCGCACGCCGUAAGCCCAAGGUUUCCUGUUCAACGUUCAUCGGAGCAGGGUGAGUCGGCCCCUAAGGCGAGGCAGAGAUGCGUAGCUGAUGGGAAGCAGGUUAAUAUUCCUGCACCGUCGUUAGAUGCGAUGGGGGGACGGAUCGCGGAAGGUUGUCCGGGUGUUGGAUGUCCCGGUUCUUGACCUGGAGAAGGCUGUUAGGCAAAUCCGGCAGCGUAAUUCAAGGGGUUGAGACGAGCGAGCUUGCUCGCGAAGCAAUCGGAAGUGGUUCCAAGAAAAGCCUCUAAGCUUCAGUCUAACGAGACCGUACCGCAAACCGACACAGGUGGGCGAGAUGAGUAUUCUAAGGCGCUUGAGAGAACUCGGGAGAAGGAACUCGGCAAAUUGGUACCGUAACUUCGGGAUAAGGUACGCCCCGGUAGCUUGACUGUGAACAACAGAAGGGUGAAAGGGUUGCAAUAAAAAGGUGGCUGCGACUGUUUAAUAAAAACACAGCACUCUGCAAACACGAAAGUGGACGUAUAGGGUGUGACGCCUGCCCGGUGCUGGAAGAUUAAAUGAUGGGGUGCAAGCUCUUGAUUGAAGUCCCAGUAAACGGCGGCCGUAACUAUAACGGUCCUAAGGUAGCGAAAUUCCUUGUCGGGUAAGUUCCGACCUGCACGAAUGGCGUAACGAUGGCCACACUGUCUCCUCCCGAGACUCAGCGAAGUUGAAAUGUUUGUGAUGAUGCAAUCUACCCGCGGCUAGACGGAAAGACCCCAUGAACCUUUACUGUAGCUUUGCAUUGGACUUUGAACCAAUCUGUGUAGGAUAGGUGGGAGGCUUUGAAGCGGGGACGCUAGUUCUCGUGGAGCCGUCCUUGAAAUACCACCCUGGUUUGUUUGAGGUUCUAACCUUGGCCCGUUAUCCGGGUCGGGGACAGUGCAUGGUAGGCAGUUUGACUGGGGCGGUCUCCUCCCAAAGUGUAACGGAGGAGUUCGAAGGUACGCUAGGUACGGUCGGACAUCGUGCUAAUAGUGCAAUGGCAUAAGCGUGCUUAACUGCGAGACUGACAAGUCGAGCAGGUACGAAAGUAGGACAUAGUGAUCCGGUGGUUCUGUAUGGAAGGGCCAUCGCUCAACGGAUAAAAGGUACUCUGGGGAUAACAGGCUGAUUCCUCCCAAGAGUUCAUAUCGACGGGGGAGUUUGGCACCUCGAUGUCGGCU
rnacentral:rRNA from 1 species